AUUGAACGCUGGCGGCAGGCUUAACACAUGCAAGUCGCGCGAGCAGCGGACGGGUGAGUAAUGUCUGGGAAACUGCCUGAUGGAGGUGGAUAACUACUGGAAAAGGUAGCUAAUACCGCAUACCAUCAGAUGUGCCCAGAGGGGAUUAGCUAGUAGUUGGGGUAAUGGCUCACGUAGGCGACGCUCCCUAGCUGGUCUGAGAGGAUGACCAGCCCAACUGGAAGUGAGACACGGUCCAGACUCCUACGGGAGGCAGCAGUGGGGAAUAGUGCACAAUGGGCGAAAGCCUGAUGCAGCCAUGCCGCGUGUGUGAAGAAGGCUUUCGGGUUGUAAAGCACUUUCAGCGAGGAGGCGUUACUCGCAGAAGAAGCACCGGCUAACUCCGUGCCAGCAGCCGCGGUAAUAC
rnacentral:rRNA from 1 species